GAUGAACGCUGGCGGCGUGCCUAAUACAUGCAAGUCGAGCGAACGGACGAGAAGCUUGCUUCUCUGAUGUUAGCGGCGGACGGGUGAGUAACACGUGGAUAACCUACCUAUAAGACUGGGAUAACUUCGGGAAACCGUAGCUAAUACCGGAUAAUAUUUUGAACCGCAUGGUUCAAAAGUGAAAGACGGUCUUGCUGUCACUUAUAGAUGGAUCCGCGCUGCAUUAGCUAGUUGGUAAGGUAACGGCUUACCAAGGCAACGAUGCAUAGCCGACCUGAGAGGGUGAUCGGCCACACUGGAACUGAGACACGGUCCAGACUCCUACGGGAGGCAGCAGUAGGGAAUCUUCCGCAAUGGGCGAAAGCCUGACGGAGCAACGCCGCGUGAGUGAUGAAGGUCUUCGGAUCGUAAAACUCUGUUAUUAGGGAAGAACAAAUGUGUAAGUAACUGUGCACGUCUUGACGGUUCCUAAUCAGAAAGCCACGGCUAACUACGUG
rnacentral:rRNA from 1 species